GGCAGUGGCUGGCAGGGCGCCCGGCUCCUGAUCCGCUGUCACACCCUCCUGCUGCAUGGCGAAGGCGCUGACAGCGCCCGGAGGCGAGCGCAGGGAAGAGCCUCCAGUGCCACAGCCGCCGUUAGGGCAUGAGAAUGGCCUGGGGCUCCGUCAAGAUGCAGCCGUCGUGCGAGAGCCUGUCACUGGCCGCGCUGGCGGCCAUGGCGGCGGCGGACCGCUCCCUGUGCCACAGUCCCAGCGUGCACGAGCCAGGGCGCGAGCAGCUGCCGGUGCCCCGACGGCCGCGGCUGCGGAACCUGCUGGCGUUGCUGCGGAGCGGGCUCACCCUGUGGAGGAAGCGCGGUGCCUCUGGGGGCCGGGGCCAGCCACUUACCUCAGGAGGUACCCAAGCAUCUCAUUGCAAACCAGAUGUCUCUAGUCCUGCUGUGAAGCAAGAGGCAGCCUGGGACUCCAGGCUUUUCCUUGCUGGGAGUGACGUUCUUCUCUGGUCAUCUUGGACAUCUCACCUGGAGGAUGACAUGACUUCGUAUCUACACCUGUGAAGACUUUACAGACUGAAUUCUGUGCAGGCCAGAGGGUGCCUGUUACCUGGCAGUGCCAGAAAGGUCUCUACUGUUUCUCUUUACAUAAUGUUACUACUUUUCUUCAUGUUGAUUAAUUUAUCAAUGUUCAAGUGACGUCUAUUGCUCAUCUGAAAGGGGAGGAGAAAAUAUGCACUAUUUAAAAUGUUCUCAAAGAGGCUUCUAAACUUUAGUCUCAAUAGAUAACACUUUUUCCCCUGCUUUCUUAGUGGUACAAUAUUCAGUCACAAGCUGGCAUCACAGAACCUGAAUUUCACCCACCCAUGUACAAGUUGCACAUUUCCUUGUUGAUGUGAAGCCAGAGUGUGUGUUCUUUUCCCAGCACAUUGACAUUCAUACUGUUCUGAUUUAUACCUGUAUCAAAUUAAUACCUGUUAAAUUACUUCAAAUUUUUGGACAAUGGGUUCAUUGUGGAUGUCUCAUGAAGUGACAAACUGAGACCUAGAAUACAGAGAGAAAGGUUUCUCCUAACCUUUGUUCCUUCACCAAGAGACAUGAUGGUGACCAAGCUUGGCUCAUUUGCUAGUCAAAGGAGUUGUGAAACUUAACAAUAACUGUGGCCCUUUCUCUCCUUUCCACAAAGGCUUGUGCCAGCUGUGCAUCGCAUCACAGUUGUCCUCUCUGCAUUGGAGAGGGCUGUGAGGAAGGCAUCAGUGAAUUGUUUCAUGGGCACUUCUGCUGACUAUUGGCAUUUUAGGAACCAGUCACUUGGUGGCAGUCUCAAGAACUAGCACUCUUGAACAAGAGAAGGGGACACUACUCAGUAUAGGUCAGAUGUGACCUGGCUCCUCUGUGCUAUUCCAGGUGUUGAUCCCUAGGCCUGCCUUUUCACUUAGCCUCCUGAGGCAUAUAUUGGAUAAGUGUUUUCUCUCAGGUGGCAACAGUAAUAAACUACAAUGUCUUCAAAC
ensembl:lincRNA